AAGGUUACACUGUCUCCUUUUUCUAAUCAGUAAAACUAAUCUUCCCGUGAAGAAGCGGGGAUCCUUAUAUAAGACGAGAAGACCCUAUGGAGCUUUAAACGAAAUAACAUCUACCAACUCAACCAACAAUUUCAGAAAAUUAACACUAAACUUGGUAUAAUGAUUACUAGUUUUAGGUUGGGGUGACCGCGGAGCAAAAAACAACCUCCGCAUUGAAUGGACCUACACUCCUAAACAAAAAACCACAACUUUAUGUAUCAACAUAUUGACAUCCAUUGACCCAUUAAUUUGAUCAACGAACCAAGUUACCCUAGGGAUAACAGCGCAGUCCAUUUCAAGAGCCCCUAUCGACAAAUGG
rnacentral:rRNA from 1 species